rnacentral:rRNA from 1 species
UACAGAGGAUGCAAGCGUUAUCCGGAAUGAUUGGGCGUAAAGCGUGCGCAGGCGGUUCGUUGUGUCUGCUGUGAAAUCCCCGGGCUUAACCUGGGAACUGCAUUUGUGACUGCAUAGCUAGAGUACGGUAGAGGGGGAUGGAAUUCCGCGUGUAGCAGUGAAAUGCGUAGAUAUGCGGAGGAACACCGAUGGCGAAGGCAAUCCCCCUGGACCUGUACUGACGCUCAUGCACGAAAAGCGUGGGGAGCAAACAGG